AGUAGAGCGGGACAUUUAAUUUACUCUCAGCGGAAUUGACCGGAGAAGGCAUCAGUUCAUGCACUGCACUGGCCCGCACCACGAUUAGUAUAAGGCACAUUUCACGAAGCAGAACGCAGUCUUCAGAGAUAUCCACGUGAACGCUGUGAUACGUCUGACCUUCAGUCCGAAGAAGAAACCCAGACCAGUCUUAAAAGAAAGCACAAACCAAAUCCCCUGUACACAUAUACGGACUCAGAGGAUGAGUUUUUUUGUGGGGAAAGCCUACAAAAAAACGGUUUCCCCAGGCCCCUCGAGUGAAAAUACCAGCCCUCAUCACUCCGCAGUCUGCCCCCCAGCCCACUGAUAGCAACCAUCAUAAUGCCCCACCCAGCUUCCGGCACCUUUCGCCACUCCGGCACAAACCGACACAGCUUUGCGAUCUCGCCAGCAUGCAGAGUCUGAUGUCUUCCCUAUAGAUGGUAUGCUUUUAAAAAAGCUUUAAAGCUGCAUCACAAUGUCAUUGUACUCUUAUCUUCAAAACACCAGUUUAUACUCCUGAAUGUCAUCUUGUUGUGAUUUUUUUUUUCUGUAGAUUCCAGAGACUCUGUGAGGCCACUAUUAC